rfam:Schistosoma mattheei strain Denwood, Zambia genome assembly, scaffold: SMTD_scaffold0014955
AUCCAGCUGACAAGUCCCAAAUCGGACGAAACAAGCGUCCUGAAU